AUGCCAGAUUCGUGCCAGAUGUGGGAGCACGUCUACGCCAUCGUCAACGCCUUCCCAUCGGCACCAGUUUGGGGGCAAGCUGGUACUCCAGGAGGGGGUAUUCUCACGACCCAGGCUCUGCCUGACGCGAUCAAGGAGUACCCUGAUACAAUCAUCCUUAGUCAAUCUUCUAUUAAUGAAUUGCCGAAAGGACGUGGAACUCAAUAUCUGGAGAAGGAUCUUACAGAAGAGAGGGUGGAGAAAGCGGAUCAGCAAGCUCCUGACACGGUGAUAGAUCCAAGUUUCAGUGGGCUUGUGGUUGAAUCUGACCGUAAGUGCAUCCUGCACAGGCAGAGACCAGGCAGGUUUGUGGCAUUUGAAGGGACUGGCACUGGAAGGAGAUUCAUUGGAUGUGCUACUACGGAUGGUGUGAACUAUGAUGUUCUGGAGUGGGUAGAUGCCCCUUGGCCAGUAAUUCUGCAGAGGUGUUUAACCAAGCUGUGGGAUAUGUAUCAUGAGGAGAACCUUGGUAGAGUCCAAGACAAAGAAGCUCAUGAGAUAGACGAAAUCAAUGAACUUAAGGAGAAGAAGCAUCAGCUUGAGGAGAAGGCAAAGAUUGAGGUUGAAAUGGAGAAGCUUAAGCUGAAGAAAGAACAGAGGUGCAUCCUGCAUACUCAAGCUGAUAUCAUUCAAAACACCAGGAAGGCCAUGAAGGAGAUAUAA
rnacentral:rRNA from 1 species